rnacentral:rRNA from 1 species
UAGCUAGUUGGUAGGGUAAGAGCCUACCAAGGCGACGAUCGGUAGCUGGUCUGGGAGGAUGGCCAGCCACACUGGAACUGAGACACGGUCCAGACUCCUACGGGAGGCAGCAGUGGGGAAUAUUGGACAAUGGGGGCAACCCUGAUCCAGCAAUGCCGCGUGAGUGAAGAAGGCCUGAGGGUUGUAAAGCACUUUCAGUGGGGAGGAGGGUAUUUAGGUUAAGAGCUAGGAUACUGGACGUUACCCACAGAAGAAGCACCGGCUAACUCCGUGCCAGCAGCCGCGGUAAUACGGAGGGUGCGAGCGUUAAUCGGAAUAACUGGGCGUAAAGGGUGCGCAGGUGGUUAGAUAAGUUAUCUGUGAAAUCCCCGGGCUCAACCUGGGCAGGUCAGAUAAGACUGUUUGACUCGAGUAUAGGAGAGGGUAGUGGAAUUUCCGGUGUAGCGGUGAAAUGCGUAGAGAUCGGAAGGAACACCAGUGGCGAAGGCGGCUACCUGGCCUGAUACUGACACUGAGGCACGAAAGCGUGGGGAGCAAACAGGAUUAGAUACCCUGGUAGUCCACGCCGUAAACGAUGUCAACUAGCUGUUGGCCUUAUGAAUAAGGUUAGUGGCGC